rnacentral:rRNA from 1 species
AAUCUGGAUUCCCAUCUAGUGGCAGACGGGUGAGUAACACGUGGGUGACCUACCUAUUAGAGGGGAACAACAAUGAGAAAUCAUUGCUAAUACCGCAUAUGCCAUAACUACCGCAUGGUAGAAGUGGGAAAGGAGUAAUCCGCUGAUAGAUGGCCUUGCGUCUGAUUAGGUAGUUGGUGAGGUAACGGCUCACCAAGCCGACGAUCAGUAGCCGGACUGAGAGGUUGAACGGCCACAUUGGGACUGAGACACGGCCCAGACUCC